UUCUUAAAAAUUAAAAAUUAUGGCGGUAAUUUAGUCAUUUCAGAGGAAUCUGUUUAAUAAAUGAUAGUCCACGAUUUUAUUUACUUUUUUUAUUUAUUUAUAUAUCGUCGUAUUUUAAAUAUUUUAUUAAAAUUUUAAUAUUGGUAAUUUUAAAUUAAAAAGUUAAUCAGAUCAAGGUGUAGUUUAUAAAAAAGAAUAAAUGGAUUACAUUGAGUUUAUAUUUUGGAUUAAAUUAUUUAAUUAAUUUUUGAAAAUGGAUUUGAUUGUAAGUGUAAUUAAAUAAUUAUAUUGAUUUAUGCUCUAAUUUAUGUACAUAUUGCCCGUCGCUUUCAUUUAAUAUGGAAUAAGUCGUAACAAAGUAGAUUUACUGGAAAGUAAAUCUAGAUUAUCAAAUUAUAGCUUAAUAAAAGUGUUUUAGUUACAUUAAAAAGUUAGUUGAAUUCAAUUUAAUUUGAUGAAUUAUUAUUAUUAUUAUUAUUAUUUUAAUAAGAUAUUAAAUGAAAUAUAAUUUUUUUUAUUAUUAUUUAGAAAAAAUUAAUUUUAUAAUAGUUAAAAGUAUUGUGAAAGAAUUAAUUAAUUAAAAAAAAAGAAAAAUUUAGUUUUUGUACCUUGUGUAUCAGGGCUUAUUAAAAUAAUAUUAAUUAUUUAAAUAUCUCGAAUUUAAAAGAGCUAAGAAAUAUAUUAUUUUUAAUGUUAAAAAAUUAUGUUAAAUAUUUUUUUAGUAAUGAAAUGUUAUUCGUUUUUAAAUAUAUCUAGUUUUUUAAGAAAUAAAUUUAAUUUAUUUAUUAUUAAUAUUUUUAUUAAUUUUUAUUAAUUAUAUUAGUAAUAUUAAAUAUUUUUAGGGCUAAUCUUAAAAAUAGAUUAUUAUUAAAUUUUUAUAUUAUUAUUAAAUUAUUAGAGUUAAAAAUUUUUAUAUUUUAAAAUAUAUUAUUAUUUAUUUUUAUUGUUUAAUAUUUUUAUUAAUUAUAAGGAAUUUAUUAAAAUUUUUUUUUUAAUUAAAAUUAAAAAUUAUUAAUAUUAAAAUUAGUAUAAUUAUUUAUAUAUAUAUAUAAUAUGAUUGUUAGGUUAGUUUAAGGAAUUAGGCAAUUAAUUUUUCACCUGUUUAUUAAAAACAUGUCUUUUUGUAUUAAAUUUAAAGUCUGGCCUGCCCAAUGAGUAAGUUUGAAUGGCCGCGGUAUUUUGACCGUGCUAAGGUAGCAUAAUCAUUAGUUUUUUAAUUGAAAGCUGGAAUAAAGGGUUUGAUGAGAGAAUAACUGUCUUUAAUUAAUUAUAGUAGAAAUUUAUUUUUAAGUUCAAAAGCUUAAAUUUUUUUAAAAGACGAGAAGACCCUAUAGAGUUUUAUAAAUUUUUUUGUUUAAAUGUAUUGUAUUUAU
rnacentral:rRNA from 1 species